rnacentral:rRNA from 1 species
AACGAACGCUGGCGGCAUGCCUAACACAUGCAAGUCGAACGAGAUCUUCGGGUCUAGUGACGCACGGGUGCGUAACGCGUGGGAAUCUGCCCUUUGGUUCGGAAUAACAGUUGGAAGCGACUGCUAAUACCGGAUGAUGACGAAAGUCCAAAGAUUUAUCGCCAGAGGAUGAGCCCGCGUAGGAUUAGCUAGUUGGUGUGGUAAAGGCGCACCAAGGCGACGAUCCUUAGCUGGACUGAGAGGAUGAUCAGCCACACUGGGACUGAGACACGGCCCAGACUCCUACGGGAGGCAGCAGUGGGGAAUAUUGGACAAUGGGCGAAAGCCUGAUCCAGCAAUGCCGCGUGAGUGAUGAAGGCCUUAGGGUUGUAAAGCUCUUUUACCCGGGAUGAUAAUGACAGUACCGGGAGAAUAAGCUCCGGCUAACUCCGUGCCAGCCGCCGCCGUAA